AUUUCUGUAAUGAGCCGUAACAAUAAGGAUACCAACUGAUCAAUUGGUUAUUCAGUGAAAUGCUUUUUUACGCUUGGCAUCUGCGCUCA
rnacentral:snoRNA from 1 species